AACAAACAGCUCAUCUGCAAGCAGUGAGAGGCGUACUUCUUCUUUUCAGAUGAGAUGACCAUGGAUGCUUGGAUAUGUUUCUGGACUCUCAACAUUAUGACGUUUCUCCAAAGACACACAAAUGUGGUUUUCUGUGAACAAACAGCUCGUCUGCAAGCAGUGAGAGACGUACUUCUUCUUUUCAGGAAAAGUUCAGCAUUCGCGUUCUGGCUGAGAUGUCAUUCUUAACAACAGCAAUGACUGCCUGGGGAAUAUGACUGCAUUUGCCUAAAGGGCUUCAUCUGGCCCAUGAUAUCUUGAAAGUACCUACACCAUCCUUUCAGAUACUCAAAGGAAAAGUUCAGCAUUCGCGUUCUGGCUGAGAUGUCAUUCUUAACAACAGCAAUGACUGCCUGGGGAAUAUGACGGCAUUUGCCUAAAGGGCUUCAUCUGGCCCAUGAUAUCUUGAA